rnacentral:rRNA from 1 species
AUUGAACGCUGGCGGCAUGCCUUACACAUGCAAGUCGAACGGUAACGGGUCCUUCGGGAUGCCGACGAGUGGCGAACGGGUGAGUAACAUAUCGGAACGUGCCCAGUAGUGGGGGAUAACUGCUCGAAAGAGCAGCUAAUACCGCAUACGACUUGGGGGUGAAAGGGGGGGAUCGCAAGACCUUUCGCUAUUGGAGCGGCCGAUAUCAGAUUAGCUAGUUGGUGGGGUAAAGGCCUACCCAGGCAAAGAUCUGUAGUUGGUCUGAGAGGGCGACAAGCCACACUGGGACGACGACACGGCCCAGACUCCUACGGCAGGCAGCAGGGGUGAAUUUUGUACAAUGGGCGCAAGCCUAGUCCAGCAAUGCCGCGUGCAGGAAGAAGGCCUUCGGGUUGUAAACUGCUUUUGUCAGGGAAGAAAUCUUCUGGGCUAAUACCCCGGGAGGAUGACGGUACCUGAAGAAUAAGCACCGGCUAACUACGUGCCAGCCGCCGCCGUAA